rnacentral:rRNA from 1 species
CCUACGGGUGGCAGCAGUCGAGAAUAAUUCACAAUGGGCGAAACCCUGAUGCUGCGACGCCGCGUGGGGGAAUGCAGGUCUUCGGCUUGUAAACCCCUGUCAUGUGGGAGCAAAUUAAAAAGAUAGUACCACAAGAGGUAGAGACGGCUAACUAUGUACCAGUAGCCGCGGUAAUACAGAGGUAUCAAGCGUUGUUCGGAAUCACUGGUCUUAAAGCGUGCGUAGGCUGUUUCGUAAGUCGUGUGUGAAAGGUGGGGGCUCAACCCGCGGACGGCAUCUGAUACUGUGAGACUAGAGUAAGGGAGGGGGAGGCGGAAUGAGCGGUGUAGCAGUGAAAUGCGUAGAUAU